AUUGAACGCUGGCGGCAGGCCUAACACAUGCAAGUCGAGCGGAUGAAGGGAGCUUGCUCCUGGAUUCAGCGGCGGACGGGUGAGUAAUGCCUAGGAAUCUGCCUGGUAUUUGGGGAUAACGUCCGGACACGGGCGCUAAUACCGCAUACGUCCUGAUGGAGAAAGUCGGGGAUCUUCGGACCUCACGCUAUCAGAUGAGCCUAGGUCGGAUUAGCUAGUUGGUGGGGUAAAGGCCUACCAAGGCGACGAUCCGUAACUGGUCUGAGAGGAUGAUCAGUCACACUGGAACUGAGACACGGUCCAGACUCCUACGGGAGGCAGCAGUGGGGAAUCUUGGACAAUGGGCGAAAGCCUGAUCCAGCAAUGCCGCGUGUGUGAAGAAGGUCUUCGGAUUGUAAAGCACUUUAAGUUGGGAGGAAGGGCAGUAAGUGAAUACCUUGCUGUUUUGACGUUACCAACAGAAUAAGCACCGGCUAACUUCGUG
rnacentral:rRNA from 1 species